rnacentral:rRNA from 1 species
UGGGGAAUAUUGCACAAUGGGCGCAAGCCUGAUGCAGCCAUGCCGCGUGUGUGAAGAAGGCCUUCGGGUUGUAAAGCACUUUCAGCGAGGAGGAAGGGUGGUGUGUUAAUAGCACAUCACAUUGACGUUACUCGCAGAAGAAGCACCGGCUAACUCCGUGCCAGCAGCCGCGGUAAUACGGAGGGGGCAAGCGUUAAUCGGAAUUACUGGGCGUAAAGCGCACGCAGGCGGUUUGUUAAGUCAGAUGUGAAAUCCCCGCGCUUAACGUGGGAACUGCAUUUGAAACUGGCAAGCUAGAGUCUUGUAGAGGGGGGUAGAAUUCCAGGUGUAGCGGUGAAAUGCGUAGAGAUCUGGAGGAAUACCGGUGGCGAAGGCGGCCCCCUGGACAAAGACUGACGCUCAGGUGCGAAAGCGUGGGGAGCAAACA